rnacentral:rRNA from 1 species
CCUACGGGAGGCUGCAGUGGGGAAUAUUGGGCAAUGGAGGAAACUCUGACCCAGCAACGCCGCGUGAAGGAUGAAGGUUUUCGGAUUGUAAACUUCUGUCGCGAGGGAUGAAGAAUGACGGUACCUCGUAAGAAAGCCCCGGCAAACUACGUGCCAGCAGCCGCGGUAAUACGUAGGGGGCGAGCGUUGUCCGGAAUGACUGGGCGUAAAGGGAGUGUAGGCGGCAUAUUAAGUUAUGUGUGAAAGCCCGCGGCUCAACCGCGGAAUUGCACAUAAAACUGGUAAGCUGGAGUGCAGGAGAGGUAAGUGGAAUUCCCGGUGUAGCGGUGGAAUGCGUAGAUAUCGGGAGGAACACCAGAGGCGAAGGCAGCUUACCAAGCUACUUCUGACGUUGAGGCACGAAAGCGUGGGGAGCAAACAGGAUUAGAUACCCCUGUAGUC